rnacentral:rRNA from 1 species
AGGUUAAGAUGAUAAGGGCGCACGGUGGAUGCCUAGGCACUAGGAGCCGAUGAAGGACGGAACAAACACCGAAAUGCUUCGGGGAGCUGUAAGUAAGCGAAGAACCGGAGAUAUCCGAAUGGGGGAACCCGGCUGAGGUCAAGCUCAGUCACACAUUAAUGAAAUGAAGUAGUUAAUGUGGGGAAGACGUGGUGAACUGAAACAUCUAAGUAGCCACAGGAAGAGAAAGAAAAAUCGAUUUCCGGAGUAGCGGCGAGCGAAAAGGAAAGAGCCCAAACCAACGAGCAUGCUUGUUGGGGUAGUAGGACUGGUAGACGAGGAAAAAGGCUUGCGAUAGUCGAAGCAGUUGGGAAGCUGCACCGAAGAAAGUGACAGUCUUGUAGACGAAAUCAAGAGCACUCAACCAGGAUCCUGAGUACGGCGGGGCACGUGAAACCCCGUCGGAAUCUGGGAGGACCAUCUCCCAAGGCUAAAUACUCCCUAGUGACCGAUAGUGAACUAGUACCGUGAGGGAAAGGUGAAAAGCACCCCGGGAGGGGAGUGAAAUAGAUCCUGAAACCGUGUGCCUACAAGUAGUCAGAGCUCGUUAAAGAGUGAUGGCGUGCCUUUUGUAGAAUGAACCGGCGAGUUACGUUAAAUUGCGAGGUUAAGUUGAGAAGACGGAGCCGCAGCGAAAGCGAGUCUGAAGAGGGCGUAAAGUAGUUUGACGUAGACCCGAAACCAAGUGACCUACCCAUGUCCAGGUUGAAGGUGCGGUAAAACGCACUGGAGGACCGAACCCACGUAAGUUGAAAAUUGCGGGGAUGAGGUGUGGGUAGCGGUGAAAUUCCAAACGAACUUGGAGAUAGCUGGUUCUCUCCGAAAUAGCUUUAGGGCUAGCCUCGGGGAAGAGGAUUAUGGAGGUAGAGCACUGUUUGGACUAGGGGCCCAUCAAGGGUUACUGAAUUCAGAUAAACUCCGAAUGCCAUUAAUCUAUACCCGGGAGUCAGACUAUGAGUGAUAAGAUCCGUAGUCGAAAGGGGAACAGCCCAGAUCACCAGUUAAGGUCCCAAAAUCCAUACUAAGUGGAAAAGGAAGUGGAGCUGCAUAGACAACUAGGAUGUUGGCUUAGAAGCAGCAAUGCAUUCAAAGAGUGCGUAAUAGCUCACUAGUCGAGUGACUCUGCGCCGAAAAUGUACCGGGGCUAAGUAUGGUACCGAAACUGUGGGUGUAACUAGAAAUAGUUAUGCGAUAGGAGAGCGUUGUAAGCACGAAGAAGCCAGAUCGUGAGGACUGGUGGAGCGCUUAGAAGUGAGAAUGCCGGUAUGAGUAGCGAAAGACCAGUGAGAAUCUGGUCCACCGAAUGACUAAGGAUUCCUGGGGAAGGCUCGUCCGCCCAGGGUAAGUCGGGACCUAAGACGAGGCCGAAAGGCGUAGCCGAUGGAAAACAGGUUGAGAUUCCUGUACUGAUCAGUUCUGUUUGAGCAAUGGAGGGACGCAGGAGAUAAACGUGAGCAUGCAGCUGGAAAAGCAUGUCCAAGCAGUGAGUCUGGGAGUGAGUUAAAUGCUUACUUCUAAUAAGGACGAGCUGUGAUGGGGAGCGAAAUAUAAGUAGCGAAGCACGAGAGUCACACUGCCAAGAAAAGCUUCUAGUGAGGAACUGGUUACCCGUACCGCAAACCGACACAGGUAGUCGAGAUGAGAAUUCUAAGGUGAGCGAGUGAACUAUUGUUAAGGAACUCGGCAAAAUGGCCCCGUAACUUCGGGAGAAGGGGUGCUGGUGUAAGAGCCAGCCGCAGUGAAAAGGCCCAAACAACUGUUUAUCAAAAACACAGGUCUCUGCCAAAUCGAAAGAUGACGUAUAGGGGCUGACGCCUGCCCGGUGCUGGAAGGUUAAGAGGAGAGCUUAGCGUAAGCGAAGGUUUGAAUUGAAGCCCCAGUAAACGGCGGCCGUAACUAUAACGGUCCUAAGGUAGCGAAAUUCCUUGUCGGGUAAGUUCCGACCUGCACGAAAGGCGUAAUGAUUUGGGCACUGUCUCAACAAUAGACUCGGUGAAAUUAUAAUACCCGUGAAGAUGCGGGUUACCCGCGACAGGACGGAAAGACCCCAUGGAGCUUUACUGUAGCUUGAUAUUGAAUUUUUGUGUAACAUGUACAGGAUAGGUAGGAGCCGAAGAGGUCGGUACGCUAGUAUCGACGGAGGCGCUGGUGGGAUACUACCCUUGUUAGAUGAAGGUUCUAACCCGCGCCAUUGAAGCAUGGCGGGAGACAGUGUCAGGUGGGCAGUUUGACUGGGGCGGUCGCCUCCUAAACAGUAACGGAGGCGCCCAAAGGUUCCCUCAGAAUGGUUGGAAAUCAUUCGCAGAGUGUAAAGGCAGAAGGGAGCUUGACUGUGAGACAGACAAGUCGAGCAGGGACGAAAGUCGGGCUUAAUGAUCCGGUGGCACCGUAUGGAAGGGCCAUCGCUCAACGGAUAAAAGCUACCCUGGGGAUAACAGGCUUAUCUCCCCCAAGAGUUCACAUCGACGGGGAGGUUUGGCACCUCGAUGUCGGCUCAUCGCAUCCUGGGGCUGUAGUCGGUCCCAAGGGUUGGGCUGUUCGCCCAUUAAAGCGGUACGCGAGCUGGGUUCAGAACGUCGUGAGACAGUUCGGUCCCUAUCCGUCGCGGGCGGAGGAAAUUUGCGAGGAUCUGUCCUUAGUACGAGAGGACCGGGAUGGACAUACCGCUGGUGCACCAGUUGUUCUGCCAAGAGCAUCGCUGGGUAGCUAUGUAUGGAAGGGAUAAACGCUGAAAGCAUCUAAGUGUGAAACCCACCUCAAGAUGAGAUUUCCCAUUCAGUAAUGAAGUAAGACCCCUCAAAGAAGAUGAGGUAGAUAGGUUGCGCGUGGAAGGUUAGUGAUAAUUGGAGCGGAGCAAUACUAAUCGGUCGAGGGCUUAACCGAG